UGUGUCCAAGUUUUGGCAAGAGUUUUGUAGGUUACUGGGAGCGAGUGUCAGCCUGUCUUCAGGGUUUCAUCCCCAGAGCAACGGUCAAACGGAGAGGGCCAACCAAGAUUUGGAGAGAGUGUUGCGAUGUUUGGUUUCUAAGAAUCCCUCUUCCUGGAGUCAACAACUCUCUAUGGUUGAGUACGCUCACAAUUCGUUGCCAGUGGCAGCCACGGGUCUCUCUCCGUUUGAGUGUAGUUUAGGUUACCAGCCACCUAUCUUUCCCAGUACGGAGUCCGAGGUCACUGUUCCCUCCGCUCACGCUUUCAUCCAGAGGUGCCGUCACGCAUGGAGCAGAGCCCGUGAGACUCUUCUCCGGGUGGGGCGCGCACCAAGGCUAAGGCCGAUCGCCACCGGUCGAAGCCUCCGGUAUACGUCGUUGGCCAAAGAGUGUGGCUUUCUACUAAGAACAUUCCACUCCGAUCCGUUUCGAACAAGCUUGCCCCCAAAUUUAUCGGCCCGUUCAGAGUCACCAGGAUCAUUAGUCCGGUGGCGGUCCGGCUCAAGCUUCCUCCGGCGUAUAGGAGAAUUCAUCCUACCUUUCAUGUGUCUAAAAUAAAACCUGUGUUUCAGGCACGCAUUAACCCGCCGGUCCCGGUUCCCCCGCCGCCACGACUUGUUGAUGGGGAGACCACCUUUUCUGUCAAUCGUAUUUUGGACUCUAGAAGGAGGGGACGCGGAUUCCAGUACCUGGUGGACUGGGAGGGUUACGGCCCGGAGGAGAGAAGUUGGGUACCUGCUAGGGACAUUCUGGAUCACUCCCUUAUCGAUGAUUUCAAUCGACAGUGUUUGUGUGGGCGUGGUUUCCCAAUCUCGGCCUGAUUGUCUGCGCCAGCUGGAACCACUUAUCUUCCCUUUAUAUGUUCUGUUACCAGUAUUUCUUGUUGUCAGAUCGUUGUUUCUUCUCUGAGGUUGUGUCGUGUGUCCGUGCUCUUCUCUUGUGUGGAUUAUCUGCUGUGCUCCUUCCUACUCAUCUGGACACACUCCCCUGGUUUUCUCAGCACGUUAUGAUCGGAAGAUGCGCCCGAGUUCCUGGGUCGGAUUCCUUCUGAGUACAGUCUGUCUGUCAUGUUGCUGCUGUGAACUACAUUCAUUAAAACCAUCGUUGCUUGCAUCUUG